rnacentral:sRNA from 1 species
UCAUAUACCUCCGCGUACGAUGGCCAAAC